GCUGCCGCAAAAUCGGCAGCCGGGCGUGAGAACCCGAGCAAAACAAAGGCGACACAACACGCGCUAGGCGUGUUUUUU
rnacentral:sRNA from 1 species